rnacentral:rRNA from 1 species
GGAUCCAGACUUCGAUCCUGGCUCAGGAUGAACGCUAGCUACAGGCUUAACACAUGCAAGUCGAGGGGCAGCGGGAUUGAAGCUUGCUUCAAUUGCCGGCGACCGGCGCACGGGUGAGUAACGCGUAUCCAACCUUCCGUACACUCAGGGAUAGCCUUUCGAAAGAAAGAUUAAUACCUGAUAGUAUCUUAAGCACACAUGUAAUUAAGAUUAAAGAUUUAUCGGUGUACGAUGGGGAUGCGUUCCAUUAGGUAGUAGGCGGGGUAACGGCCCACCUAGCCAACGAUGGAUAGGGGUUCUGAGAGGAAGGUCCCCCACAUUGGAACUGAGACACGGUCCAAACUCCUACGGGAGGCAGCAGUGAGGAAUAUUGGUCAAUGGACGAGAGUCUGAACCAGCCAAGUAGCGUGAAGGAUGAAGGUCCUACGGAUUGUAAACUUCUUUUAUAAGGGAAUAAACCCUCCCACGUGUGGGAGCUUGUAUGUACCUUAUGAAUAAGCAUCGGCUAACUCCGUGCCAGCAGCCGCGGUAAUACGGAGGAUGCGAGCGUUAUCCGGAUUUAUUGGGUUUAAAGGGAGCGCAGACGGGUCGUUAAGUCAGCUGUGAAAGUUUGGGGCUCAACCUUAAAAUUGCAGUUGAUACUGGCGUCCUUGAGUGCGGUUGAGGUGUGCGGAAUUCGUGGUGUAGCGGUGAAAUGCUUAGAUAUCACGAAGAACUCCGAUUGCGAAGGCAGCACACUAAUCCGUAACUGACGUUCAUGCUCGAAAGUGUGGGUAUCAAACAGGAUUAGAUACCCUGGUAGUCCACACGGUAAACGAUGGAUACUCGCUGUUGGCGAUAUACUGUCAGCGGCUUAGCGAAAGCGUUAAGUAUCCCACCUGGGGAGUACGCCGGCAACGGUGCAACU